rnacentral:lncRNA from 1 species
GCAACUAGCACAGUGAAUUCCAAAAUAUGGCGUCAAAAACAUUCCUUUUCACAGUUCUCGUUUUCGCGAUUGUUCUUGGGAACGUUUCUUAUACUGCUGCAAUUCGAGCAACAGGCAUACACACACAGAAUGUUGGCAAACGAAGGAUAAAUGAGAAUCAGCUCUGGAGAGCCGCAUUUGCCGACCAAGAAAGAGACGAGGUCUGUGACAUGGCCAGUCAAAUGGGAUGUUCAGGAAGCAAGAGAGGACGCUAGAAAUAGUUGCCCGCCAAAUGAUGCUAUGCCUAAUUACCUCAACUUGCAUAGUGAACGUUUCGGCAAGAUGAGUUAUUUUAAAAGACAGUGUAUAGCUAACCCAUGAUAAAAAUAAAACGAAACAAUAUUAAAAGAAAAUAAAAACGCUCA